UCUUUUAAAGUAAAUUUACAUUUAAUUUCGACUUAAAAAUUUAUUAUUUUAAUAUAAUAUAAAAGAU
rnacentral:tRNA from 1 species